rnacentral:rRNA from 1 species
AUUGAACGCUGGCGGCAGGCCUAACACAUGCAAGUCGAGCGGAUGAAGGGGGCUUGCUCCUGGAUUCAGCGGCGGACGGGUGAGUAAUGCCUAGGAAUCUGCCUGGUAGUGGGGGAUAACGUCCGGAAACGGGCGCUAAUACCGCAUACGUCCUGAGGGAGAAAGUGGGGGAGCUUCGGACCUCACGCUAUCAGAUGAGCCUAGGUCGGAUUAGCUAGUUGGUGGGGUAAAGGCCUACCAAGGCGACGAUCCGUAACUGGUCUGAGAGGAUGAUCAGUCACACUGGAACUGAGACACGGUCCAGACUCCUACGGGAGGCAGCAGUGGGGAAUAUUGGACGAUGGGCGAAAGCCUGAUCCAGCCAUGCCGCGGGUGUGAAGAAGGUCUUCGGAUUGUAAAGCACUUUAAGUUGGGAGGAAGGGCAGUAAGUUAAUACCUUGCUGUUUUGACGUUACCAACAGAAGAAGCACCGGCUAACUUCGUG